GCUGGGGUUGGGGCUCAGUGACAGAGCUCUUGCCUCACAUGCAUGAGGCACUGGGAUCGAUCCUCAGCACCGCA
rnacentral:tRNA from 1 species